UUAUUGGAGAGUUUGAUCCUGGCUCAGGACGAACGCUGGCGGCGUGCCUAAUACAUGCAAGUCGAGCGGAUCUUCGGGAGCUUGCUCCCGAUGGUCAGCGGCGGACGGGUGAGUAACACGUGGGCAACCUGCCUGUAAGACUGGGAUAACUCCGGGAAACCGGGGCUAAUACCGGAUGAUUCAUUCCCUCACAUGAGGGAAUGCUGAAAGACGGCUUUUGCUGUCACUUACAGAUGGGCCCGCGGCGCAUUAGCUAGUUGGUGAGGUAACGGCUCACCAAGGCCACGAUGCGUAGCCGACCUGAGAGGGUGAUCGGCCACACUGGGACUGAGACACGGCCCAGACUCCUACGGGAGGCAGCAGUAGGGAAUCUUCCGCAAUGGACGAAAGUCUGACGGAGCAACGCCGCGUGAGCGAAGAAGGCCUUCGGGUCGUAAAGCUCU
rnacentral:ncRNA from 2 species